CGACGUAGAGGACUAGGAAUCAGGAGUCGGUGGCCGUAUGCUGGAGGCUGGAGCCGCGGGAGCGCGGCUCGCCUCGCUGCGGUUUUUGGCAGUGAGGGAGAGAGAGCAGCGUGGCUGGAGCGGUUUUGCUCUUCUUGCCCAGCCUGGAGUGAAAUGGCACGAUAUUGGCUCACUGCAACCUCUGCCUCCUGGGUUCAAGCGAUUUUCCUGCCUCAGCCUGCCGAGUAGCUGGGAUUAUAGCUCAUGGUGAACCCUUAACAGGAGCUGCGAAGGAUGAAGAGUUAGACCAGCAUACUAAUUCAUCUUGCUUCUUCCCUAAUGAAAUACAUAAAUGCUAAAAAAGAGAGUAUAAAAGAUGAGAGUUUAAGAAAAGCUUCACUGCCCUUACCUUGCCCUGGAGUACUGCUCUUGCUGAUUCAACAGAACUUCAGUUUUCAAAGACAAACUUUAAAUCUCCAUCAAAUAUUUCAAAGACAGAAAAUAAGACUUAAAAUGUCAUUCUUUUAUAAUGAGUCAUUGGAAUUUUUUGCCUACAGCAGAAUAUGAACUUAGAUAUCAUUGUCGGUGUGAAACUCACUGUUACAAAAAAUAAAUUUAGAAAUGUGAAUUGAACAAGAAAAAUAUGAGUCUCAAUAUUUCUUAAAUUUGAUGUCUAUUAGCAGAUGCAUAAUUGUUCACUUGAUGUCAAUUUUCUCUUACUUUUUCCUUUCUUAUGUGGUAGAAUUUAAAAACCUUAUCAAAGUAUUUAUAAAGUGAUCAAUUUUCUUAGUACAGUAGUAAAGCUAUUCCAAGGAAGCAUAAUAAAAAAUCACACAACUUUGAACAUGAUCAGUAUGAAUCUGUGGUUUUACAUAUCGCAAAUUUGGGAACUAUUUACAUCAAGAUGCCGUGUGCUUAUAUAAUCCCUUGAAAAUCUUAUGAAAACAUAAUUGUCUAUGUUUGGUUCAAAUUCAGUGUCAGAACAAUGUGAUAUAUUAUGACACGCAGAGGCUGUGUCUUAACUCUGCGAAACUUAAUUCUGUAUACAGUACUUCUUGAACAUUCCCAAGAGCAAAGUGGUUGUGGCAUCCCUGAAGUAACUGGAGAAGAGCCAUCAAACCUCAAGUAUACAGCUGAAUUCACCACUGAAGUGCUAGAAAACCUAACUGAAGCUUGAUGAAAGGGAUUGUGUCAAGUGUUGAGCUUGCUGAGUGUUUGGAUAUCCAGAGGCCCGACCUUGGUUCUCCAAAGACUGUGAACUCAGCAAUACAGCUACUCGGGCAUUUGUUAUUUUCUGAGAAAAGAAACAGUGUAUUUGAAAACACAUGUGGGUUUCUCUGAUUCCAUAUAUGUGCAGAAUGAACAGAUACGUCAAACAGAGGUGGCUGAUUAUAGCCCUUUUAGAUAUGGGUUACAAAGCUCUAAGUCGAAGGCCUAAAGAGACCAAGGGUCCGCAUGCAAUCAGAUUCGGUGUUAACUAAGAAGCCAGCUUUGUGAUAAGCAGGACUUUUUGAAUUUGAGGUUAUUAAAAACAAUACAAACAAAACAGACAACAUCCAGUGAAAGCCAGGAGAUCUAAAAUUAAUGUGAUUAAACCAUAAGUUUAAAAAUGAUAAAAUUUAAUAAAGUGUUUUGAUAUUAUGGAAAAGAUAUUGUAAGACAAAAUUUGCACAGAUAUGACCGGGCAAAUAAAAGAAAAUAAAUAGGAUAUGCGCAGCAUUUCUUUGAAAAUGACAAGAAAAAUUAUGUGCAGGAUUCUCUAUUUAAUAAAUGUUGCUGGGAAAACUGGCUAGCCAUUUGCAGAAAACAAACUGGACCCUUUCCUUACACCUUGUACAAAAAUUAACUCAAGAUGGAUUAAAGAUUUAACAUAAAAUCUAAAAUCUUGAAAAACCUAGAAGAAAACCUAGGCAAUACCAUUCCGAACAUAGGCAUGGGCAAAGACUUAAUGACUAAAACACCAAAAGCAAUUGCAACAAAAGCCAAAAUUGGCAAAUGGGAUCUAAUUAAACUAAAGAGCUUCUGCACAGCAAAAGAAACUCAUUAGUGUGAACAGGCAACCUACAGAAUGGGAGAAAAUUUUUGCAAUCUAUCCAUCUGACAAAGGGCCAAUAUCCAGAAUCUACAAGGAACUUAAACAAAUUUACAAGAAAAACAACACAACCCCAUCGAAAAGUGGACAAAGGAUAUGAACUUCUCAAAAUAAGACAUUUAUACGGGCAACACAUAUGAAAAAAAGCUCAUCAUCACUAGUCAUUAGAGAAAUGCAAAUCAAAAUCACAAUGAGAUACCAUCUCAUGCCAAUUAGAAUGGUGGUCAUUAAAAAGUCAGGAAACAACAGAUGGUGGAGUGGAUGUGGAGAAAUAGGAAUGCUUUUACACUGUUGGUGGGAGUGUAGAUUAGUUCAACCACUGUGGAAGACAGUAUGGUGAUUCCUCAAGGAUCUAGAACCAGAAACACCAUUUGACCCAGCAAUCCCAUUACUGGGUAUGUUCCGAAAGGAUUAUAAAUCAUUUUACUAAUAAAGACACAUGCACAUGUAUGUUUAUUGUAGCACUAUUUACAGUAGCUAAGACUUGGAACCAACCCAAAUCCCAUCAAUGGAUAGACUGGAUAAAGAAAAUGUGGCACAUAUACACCAUGGAAUACUAUGCAGCCAUAAAAAAGAAUGAGUUCAUGUCCUUUGUAGCGGCAAGGAUGAAGCUGGAAACCAUCAUCCUCAGCAAACUAACACAGGAAGAGAAACUAACACAGGAAGAGUGCAUGUUCUCACUCAUAACCGGGAGUUGAACAAUGAGAAUACAUGGAAACAGAGAGGAAAACAUGGAAACAUCACACACCGGGGCCUGUUGGGGGGUGGUGGGUAAGGGGAGGGAUAGUAUUAGAACAAAUAUCUAAUGCAUGCAGGGCUUAAAACCUAAAUGACGGGUUGAUAGGUGCAGCAAACCACCAUGGCACAUGUAUACCUAUGUAACAAACCUGCAUGUUGAGCACAUGUAUCCCAGAACUUAAAAUAAAUAUAAAAAAUAAACUUUUAAAAGUACCAUAUUAAAAAAAAUUAUGUGCAAAACCUUGGAGAAUUUUGACUGUCAAGCUUAUUUGGGGCUUUAAUUCUGUUUAAAUAAACCCUAUUUGAAUUCA